GACGAACGCUGGCGGCGUGCUUAACACAUGCAAGUCGAACGGGAAGAGAUGAAGAGCUUGCUCUUUAUCGAAUCCAGUGGCAAACGGGUGAGUAACACGUAAACAACCUGCCUUCAGGAUGGGGGCAACAGACGGAAACGACUGCUAAUACCGAAUACGUUCCACGGGCCGCAUGACCUGUGGAAGAAAGGGUAGCCUCUACCUGUAAGCUAUCGCCUGAAGAGGGGUUUGCGUCUGAUUAGGCAGUUGGUGGGGUAACGGCCCACCAAACCAACGAUCAGUAGCCGGUCUGAGAGGAUGAACGGCCACACUGGAACUGAGACACGGUCCAGACUCCUACGGGAGGCAGCAGUGGGGAAUCUUCCGCAAUGGACGAAAGUCUGACGGAGCAACGCCGCGUGAGUGAAGACGGCCUUCGGGUUGUAAAGCUCUGUGAUCCGGGACGAAAGAGCCUGAGGUGGAUAGCCUAAGGAAGUGACGGUACCGGAAAAGCAAGCCGCGGCUAACUACGUGCCAGCAGCCGCGGUAA
rnacentral:rRNA from 1 species